AAGAAAAUAGUUCAGUUGGUAGAACAGUGGUCUUCAAAGCCAAAAGUCAAGAGUUCAAAUCUCUUUUUUCUUG
rfam:Thalassiosira oceanica strain CCMP1005 To_g19728, whole genome shotgun sequence.